UACAGAGGUCCCGAGCGUUGUUCGGAUUCAUUGGGCGUAAAGGGCGCGUAGGCGGGAUGGCAAGUCGGUCGUGAAAUCCCUCGGCUCAACCGAGGAACGUCGAUCGAUACUGCUGUUCUUGAGGAUUGCAGAGGAGACUGGAAUUCCCGGUGUAGCGGUGAAAUGUGUAGAGAUCGGGAGGAACACCGGUGGCGAAGGCGGGUCUCUGGGCAAUUCCUGACGCUGAGGCGCGAAAGCGUGGGGAGCAAACGGG
rnacentral:rRNA from 1 species